rnacentral:rRNA from 1 species
CUCUAGAGAGACUGCCAGGGAUAACCUGGAGGAAGGUGGGGAUGACGUCAAAUCAUCAUGCCCCUUAUGCUUAGGGCUACACACGUGCUACAAUGGGUAGUACAGAGGGUUGCCAAGCCGUAAGGUGGAGCUAAUCCCUUAAAGCUACUCUCAGUUCGGAUUGUAGGCUGAAACUCGCCUACAUGAAGCUGGAGUUACUAGUAAUCGCAGAUCAGAAUGCUGCGGUGAAUGCGUUCCCGGGUCUUGUACACACCGCCCGUCACACCACGGGAGUUGGAG